UUGUUGUCCUUUUAUAUUAUACAAACAGAUAAUGUUGAAGAAUUUAUUUCUUCGCAGAAAGACUAUUGGGCUCUUAAAUUUUCUUUAUUCUAAUCGCUUAAUAAUGUUCAACGAGUUAUUAUUCUGUUUACGUUUACCUUUGAAUCUCGAGAUUUAUCUCAUUCUCCAUACUAUGUAAUUUUAAGAUACAAUUCAUUAAAAUUCCUGGCCUAUGAAGGUGCAUUCGAUAAGUGUUGCAUGUAAAGCAACCGAUUGUUGCAGAAUAAAAAACAAUUUCCGCAUAAAGCUACCAGGAAAAUCCUUGACAAUCAUCGAGUACAAAGUAUUCUAUACCGUUUACGGAAAAUAUAAUGGCUGGUUUAGUAAAGGAAAGCCGACGUGGAAAUUAUUAUCCCAUUCAAAGGAAACGUUAAUUAGUAUACCUGCUCUAAGAGCGAGACGAACAGUUACAGACAAGUACUCAGGGUAUAAAGAUCAAUUGAAGACAAAGCGAUUUUUUUAACACUAUGCACUUUGCAUCAUCUUCCGCGUCUAUAUGUAAAAACGACGUAUGCAUGCAUACGCGUACGUCUCGUGUGGGAAGCGAGCCAAAGUGAAGCGAAGCAACAGGCUGCUAUUCCUGCAGUGGGAAGUUGGUCGAACGUGGAAUAGAAUGAAAAAGAAAAAACCGUGAUAAAGAGUGUCACGUUUUUUACUUCUUACAAUGCUCUUCUCGCCACAUGGUUGGGCGCCACCCAUUUCUUGGCACAUGUGCAACAUACUUCGAAGCCCCUGCCUUUCGCUUCCCACGUCCUGAAGGUUUCUGAGAAAGAAAAGAGUGCGAUCCACCUCGGUACUAACCUCGAAGGAGAAACCACCGACCGGUGGAGUUUACACAAUUUUCAUGUAAUAACUUCCCAGUGUCUAUUCCUAUCAUCGAUACAUUUCAUAAAUAUUACGCGAUCAAAGCAGGAACCUCAAAGGAUUAAGUAUUCGAUUACUUAAUCUGUCAAUUAAUCGAUUUGUUAGAAACUCUGUUUCACCUCUUCAGCAUAUUCGUUUAUGCGGAGCGAUAAAAUUAUUUAUCUUACUUGUUACCCUAAUUUCGGUCACGUAUUCGUGUCAUUGUUAUCGUGAACAAUCCACAGAAGAUAAUGAUAUUUUGCAGAAGUACCGAACGUACGUGCUCGGAACAAAAAAGGGUACCAUAAUCGAGUCGAAGUGUCAUGAAGGCGUAACCGCACCAGGUCCCCGAACAAAAUGACGUGCGGAUAAUUACUGCAACGAAAUAAAGCGAGUAUUUUUGAAUACGAAGGAAGUACGUGCUGCAUUUUCGGCGCUGGAACAGGUUUCGUAUACAUAUGUACGUCGACCUGAAACGGAAGCGACAACUCGCGAUGGAUACGGCCCUGUAACGGAAUUUCUUGCUUGUUGGGAACCAAGCGACUGCCGCUAGCUCACCUUAGGCCCUGUUCACACGGUGACGGAUGGUAAUUUCUCGGAGCGUUGGGUGCUCUCAGUAUCAUUAUCAACCCUUGCUAGUUAAGUGGAUGCAAAUAAACGUUUUAGUUGGAAAUAUAUGUUUCGUUUGUUAAUUGCUCGGUUGAUAAUUAAAUCACGUUCGCUAGGCGAACCGACAUACAGGACAAAGAACAUGCACAAGGAAGAUCUUGAUACUUGAUACUUGAUACUUGAUACCCACCAGGAACGAUCGGAUAAUCUUGUACGUUGAGGAAUGCACGAUGAAGAAUUUUACCUGUGUCCCAGCUUAGCCUGGAAAAUCUAGUCGAGCCAUGUGAGAAAACUGUCUAGUUCGUUAACAUUGUUGUUGAAUGCGUUCAUUCCCUUUGGCAUU